AUUGAACGCUGGCGGCAUGCCUUACACAUGCAAGUCGAACGGCAGCACGGGGCAACCUGGUGGCGAGUGGCGAACGGGUGAGUAAUGCAUCGGAACGUACCUUUCAGUGGGGGAUAACGUAGCGAAAGUUACGCUAAUACCGCAUAUUCUGUGAGCAGGAAAGCAGGGGAUCGCAAGACCUUGCGCUGAUUGAGCGGCCGAUGUCAGAUUAGCUAGUUGGUGAGGUAAAGGCUCACCAAGGCGACGAUCUGUAGCGGGUCUGAGAGGAUGAUCCGCCACCCUGGAACUGAGACACGGUCCAGACUCCUACGGGAGGCAGCAGUGGGGAAUUUUGGACAAUGGGGGCAACCCCGAUCCAGCCAUGCCGCGUGAGUGAAGAAGGCCUUCGGGUUGUAAAGCUCUUUCGGCCGGGAAGAAAUCGCACGGGCUAAUACCCUGUGUGGAUGACGGUACCGGAAUAAGAAGCACCGGCUAACUACGUGCCAGCCGCCGCAGUAAAAC
rnacentral:rRNA from 1 species